GGCCUGAUGGUCUAGUGGUAGUAGGUCAACUGUUCUCGCUUCAUGAGAAUCAUAAUUAACGAGUUUUCAGGGAUUUGCGUUUCGGGAUAACUCCCUGCUCUUUCAAAGAGAAUAUGCAAGGUCCCGGGUUCAAUCCCCGGUUAGGCCC
rnacentral:tRNA from 1 species